UUGAAAUACUGGUCCGCGUACGAUCACCGAAGUUAAGUAACUUCGAGCAUAUUCAGUACCUAGAUGGGUGACUAUUUGGGAACACCAGAUGCUGGA